rnacentral:rRNA from 1 species
AACGAACGCUGGCGGCAGGCUUAACACACGCAAGUCGAACGCCCCGUAAGGGGAGUGGCAGACGGGUGAGUAACGCGUGGGAACAUACCCUUUCCUGCGGAAUAGCUCUGGGAAACUGGAAUUAAUACCGCAUACGCCCUGCGGGGGAAAGAUUUAUCGGGGAAGGAUUGGCCCGCGUUGGAUUAGCUAGUUGGUGGGGUAAAGGCCUACCAAGGCGACGAUCCAUAGCUGGUCUGAGAGGAUGAUCAGCCACAUUGGGACUGAGACACGGCCCAAACUCCUACGGGAGGCAGCAGUGGGGAAUAUUGGACAAUGGGCGCAAGCCUGAUCCAGCCAUGCCGCGUGAGUGAUGAAGGCCUUAGGGUUGUAAAGCUCUUUCACCGGUGAGGAUAAUGACUGUAGCCGGAGAAGAAGCCCCGGCUAACUUCGUGCCAGCCGCCGCGGUAAGAC